UAUUACGAAAACGAUACAACUAAAAAUAUCGGAUGAAACACUAAUGCAGGUAAUUAUGCUUUGACGAACCUUAUUUGUUUUUUUUUUUAUUUCUCUGAACUACUAUAAUAAAGUUCUCAAAAAUAUCGCGAUAAAAACGAAAAAGACUCCGUGUGUAAACAUAAUUAAUAUUUCAGUUAUAUACGUUUAAACGAUUAUUUUAAAUCUUCCGUUGUAUAAACCGUAUUUUAAUAUUAUUUAGAUACCAAGUAAUAAUGUUUGAUCUUUAAAAUGUAUAAUAUAUCCAAUAAUAAAUAAAUAAAAAAUUGUAUUUUAAUUAAAAGCAAAAAAAAAAGAAAAUAAUACCAUUUGUGAUUAAUAUUUACCUAUCGUGGAAAUCGCGUAAUUUAUAAAAAUACUGAAAAUAUCAUUGACUAUCAGUUCUUAUAUUGUUAAAUAAAUAUGUAAAUAUAUUUUGAUAAUUGGUUUUUUAAAUUUGGGACGUAGUGAGGAAUAUUUUGUUUUUACUACGAUGUGUAUUUUUGUAUUUUAACUGCCUGUGAAACUAUGAUUCUACAAAAAAUCUUACUCCGAUGUAUCAAGUGUAAUAGCUUUUCUAAAUAGAAAUUUUAACUAGUUGGUGUAUUAAGUAGGUCAUUUUUUGAUUUUCUAAGGGUUUUUCAUAAUAAUCGGGAAAACCGGAUAAAAAAUUAUGAAAAAAGCAAAUAUUUACAACACGUCACGUUGUUAUCGAUUUCAUUAUAUUUUUUAAUUUUUGCAAAACUAUGAUUUCUACCUCUUAAUUUCUAAUUCUAAUAUUGCUCUAAUAGAAAAACGACGUGUGAGACCAUUUUUCACAUUUGGAUUUAUUGCUCACAAAGAAAGUCGGUUUUUUGAUUAUCCAAAUAGUUUUCAUAAUAAUUUUAAGAGAAAACCGGAAAAAGAUGAAAUAUGAUAAACAAACAAAUCAAAUUUAUGACCGUGGCAUACGAAUUCAUUGUUUCAAAAUUUUAAGGCUUAUGUUUUCUACCAGAAAUAUUGUUCCAAUAGAAAAACAACGGGAGACCUUUUGUAUUGCAUUAUUAAUAUAGUUGGUGAGUUAAACAUUCCUUUUUUUUUAUUAUUUUCCCAGUAGUAUUUUUUUUAACAAUUGAGCAAAACUCCAAAAAACAUAGAAAGAACGGGACAAAGUACGAAAAUAAUGGUUUUUAUUAUUUUCAAUUUUGAUUUUUUUUUUCGUAAUGAAAUUAAACAUUUCCAUAGACAGUCUUUCAAAUCGUGUAUAAAUUUACUUAGCUCAAAAUCGUAUUUCGUAAGCAGUAGUUGAUAACUAUACUUUCAAGUAUAGAAUAAAGAACCUUAUGUAUACCUUCCCGACAUUCCAUCUACAACAGUGGCGCAUUCAUCAACAGUAUCAAUUCUUUAAAGAAUUAUGUUUAUAUACAACGCUAAAACAUCUGAACUCUAAAUUCAUAAGUAUUUUCUAUCUACCUAGCCAUCCUUUUUUAUUAUUAUUUUUUUCUUGUGUAUUUAUCAGUGAAAAAAAAAUAUAUUUUUUUAUAGUUAAAUAGGAAUUUAACAGAAAUGUUAUUGAAAAAAAUUGAAGUCAACUUUUCCAAAACGAUGAUAAAAGAUUCGUGUCAUCGAUUGAGCCAGCAAAAAAAAUUAAUAAUACGAGCGGUAAAGUUAUCAACGAUAUUUUUUCCUUCAAAUUUUGAAUUAGGUAUUUUUUUAUUAAACACACACAUAAUAUUUUAUGCUGUAUAAAACUAAAAACGGGCGAAUUUUUUUUUUUCAGGUUUAUGUCAAUAGAUGAUACGUUCAACAUAGUUUGUACCCAUAUCAAAGAUGACCUUCCGGGAGUUUGCUGUAAAAUCCUAUAAUCCAAUUUAAUGUGUUUUACACGCGUAUAAAAUGUAUACUGUUGUAAGUUGUAACGUAAACCUAUAUAUUUUGAAAUAUUAUAUAUCCGAAUACAUAAUUUGGAAAAAGUGCAAGACGAUCUUACCGUGAGUCGGGUAAAAUUCAAUUUCAUCGAAAUUUUUAUACCAGGAAACAUAACAUAUUGUUCGCCGUAGUGGUUUUAAAAUCGUAUGUAGUACUAAUAAAAGUAAAACCAGAUGAUAUUCUGUCAUUUAAGACUACUUCGUAUUUGUGAACUAGGGAAGGGGAUUUUUAGAUUCUGAAUAGAAUGCAUUGGUUUUACAAUGAUGUUCAUUUUUUUUUUAUUUUUUUUUUUAUGUGAACACUUUUUCUACCAGAAAGAAUACUCCGAUUAUCAAGUAUAAGACUUUUUCUGAAAAGAAAUUUUCUAUGGGUGGUACUUUAAAAAGUCAUUUUUUUGAAAAUCUCAUUAGUUUUUAAAUAUUUUUUAUUAUUAUUAAGUAUUUAUUAUUUUAAUCUUUUUCAAACAAUCAUUGUUGUCAUAGAAACGCGCAUUGUUUUAAUCGUUUUACCAUAAUAUGACAUAAUUUCAUAUAUUGAUAUAUACCAUGUAUUGUUGACAAAGCAACACUAUUAACUGAACUCGGCUUAGAAUCAUUUUUUCAUUAGCAAUGGUUUAUCGUUGCUUACAGAUAUACAUAAAUUCCUG